rnacentral:lncRNA from 1 species
AUCUGGAGGAGGGGGGUUGUGGUGGAAGAGAAAGGGAAGGAAAGGCUCUGCUGCUUUUCUUCUGCUGCUUUGAGCAUCGUUACCGUGCGUGUCCAGUCUGAGCAGAGGCAGCAGGAAAGGAAGAGGGACAGGGGACGAGGAAAAACCCAACCUUGUUCAGCAUGUUCUGCAAAUGGAGCCUCUUCUUCCCCAUGAGCAAACAGACCAAGAUGGACUCCUGGCUGAUGGGUAGAGAAGUUCAGAAAGCUGCUGGGGAACACACAAUCCACGAGUUGGGAUUGCUGAUGUUGGCUUCAGUCUGGUAUCCCGUGGUAGAAACAUAAGGAUUAAACAGGCUUUGGAAGUGCCUGGAAAAUUCACAAGCAUUGCCAACAAGAAAUAAGUGAUGCAGGGGUCGCACAG